GUGCGUUCCCUCCCAUCCCGAUGUGUUUUCCCGGUCCCGAUGCUUCCCCACUCCCUCCGUUCCGCUCGGGCAGCAGGACCGUGGCGCCCCCUUGCGGCCUGGCCAGCUCUGUGGGGAGCCGCGGCCGAGUCCGGGCAUCGCGGGUUCGAUCCCCGCUCGGGUGUUCCGCGCUCCGGGCCCCGUGGGGCGGUGCCGCUCCGCCCUCCGGGCGGCUCCUGCUCCUCACCCGCGGCCUGCCCGGCCGAGCUCUGCCGGGCCAUGGCCGAGCCGCGCCCGGGACUGCCCCUGCGCUUCCAGCGCCGUUUCCUGGCGGCGCGGCCGCUCCGCUCGCUGCCCUGGCCGGAACUCGAACAAAGCCUGCGGACUGCGCCGGACUCCGCACUGCUGGCGGAUAUUCUGCACAAGACAAUUCUUCACCCUCUGUGUGUGAAAUAUCCUCCUUCAGCCAAGUACAGGAGGUGCUUCCUGACUGAGCUCAUAAAAAAGCUUGAAUCCACAGCAGCUGAACCCCUGGAUGAACUCUAUGAGACACUGGCAGAUGUUCUAAAAGAAGAAGAAGAAUCUACUCACUGUUACAAAAACUACUUACUGGUGCUCCUAUUGAUUGUAAACUCUCAGUCACUGGCCUGUGCUGAUGGAUCUUUGCCUCCCUGUGUCCCACAGCCCUCAGGCGACUGUGUGAGCCUCUGCGAGAGCACAGCGCUGAUCUCCGGUGGCACCACGGGGCUCCUCACGUGGGAGGCUGCCUUGCACCUGGCCCAGUGGGCCCUGCAGAACCCCAGCCUCUUCAGGGGCAGGACAGUCCUGGAACUGGGGAGUGGGAUUGGCUUCACUGGAAUUGCCAUCUGCAAGAGCUGCCAGCCCAGGACAUUCAUAUUCAGUGACUGCCACCCCCGUGUUCUCAGACAGCUGGGGGAAAACCUCCAGCUGAAUGGCCUCACCCCAGAGGGGGUGACCUGCAGCAUCCAAACAGAGUCCCAAGGACAGGAGCUGGAAGGGCAGAACUGCCAAACCCCAAAAGUGGUUGUUGCUGAGCUUGACUGGGGCUCAGUGACAGAAAAACAACUGCUGGCUCUCAGAGCUGACAUUGUCAUUGCAGCAGAUGUGGUUUAUGAUCCUGAGAUAAUUUUAGCCCUCAUUGGGAUGCUACAGAAACUCUCCACCUCCAGGGCAGACAGGAAAGCUCCUGAGGUGUUCAUUGCCUCCACAAUCCGAAAUCCAGACACGUAUCAGCUGUUCCAGGCUGAGCUGGAUAAAGCUGGGAUCAGGUGGCAGGUGAUCCCAGCCCACAGCAGCUGUUAUUUUCUCUAUGAUGAGCAGCCAGAUGUAACUAUUCUACAGCUAUUUAUAUAGGCUUGGCAGACAGAACUGGAAUUUUGAAACCAACAGGAGCUUGUCUCAGCGCCUUGUAACAAGAUUAUCCUGAAUUCUGGAAAGGAGGUUCUGAGGAUACAGCUGGACACACGGAGUCCUUCCUCUUAAUUGCCAGCAUGAAUCCAAGCCUGCAGCUGCCCCUGGGAAGUGACUGAACCUCAAGCAACAGAAACCAAAAAGCUUUAAUCACACUUGACUUGAUUCUGUAGAAGACAGCGGAAUUCAAGCAGGGUUUUUUUCCAACUGUGUUGUGAUUUGACUGCCACUUCCACAGUGGCUGCUGGCAAUCCAGGCAGGGCUGGCAAUGAAAAAGGAAUCACUCUCCAUAGCAGUGUUCCAGGUAUCCUGCAAGGAGGAAGGACUGAGCUCUGAAACUUCCCAUCAUCCAUUAAUCCCUCUCCUGUUGGGCAGCAUUGGUCCUGAAGCACAAAACUCCAAGUGAUGCUCAUACUUCUCUUUUAGCUUCCUUUUCUCUAUUAAAAACUACUUAAAAUGAAAUAAAAAAACUUCAACCUCCUCCUCCUGUA